ACAACAUUGAUUAUGUGUAUGGGUGUAGUGCUAUAAGCAGUGAACAUUAAUCCCAGAGAAUUCAAUGCAAUACUGAUUUGGGGAAGAUGUGUGCAGUUAAUUUAUUUCAUCUUAACCUAUCAAAAAUUGUCAACAAUCAUACAUUCAUUCUUUU